AUGAUUAGAAGUGAAUUAUCCCAUAACGAAGUACCUGCGAUGAGGAGCUGUGAGCAGAUGAUCUCACAGGAUCCCUUUUAUCCUACCUUUCCAGGAAAACAGAGGCUGAUUCAAAAUGAUAAGUUUUUUAGAAGUAAGUGGACGUAAAAAAAUUUCCAUCACCUUCUGCCUACUGAAGAGCACCAUUAUCAAGUGGCUGCCUAGCUCACAGAAACAAUGUGUGGUAACCACAUGAUCCACAGAAGACAAAAGAGCUAGACACAAGGAAGGGAUGGCAAGAGUCAAAGGUAUGUGCAAAAGUCAGGCAAAAUAUCUGCAAGAUGUUGCCUCUUUCCAGCCUAAGUACUUUUCAGGACAGGAUUAAUACAUAUCCAAAACCACUACCCAAAGCAAAGUGACGGUGGUGGCCUUUUCAUGAAGGAUAUUAGAAAGCAUUCAGUUUCAAAAAAUAUAUUAAUAAUUGUUUGCUUGCAAUUCCAAAUCAAUGUUGAAGAGAACCAGAAAGGUAUUGUCACCGAUGGAUUGCGUUUCAUCUUUUUAAUCAUUGAUAUUAAAUGAAACAGAUCUUUUGCAUUUUGUGGACAGUACAAUUUAUGCCAUGGGGAAAGCGAUGGCAAAUAUUAGCAAAAGAAAGAUUUUUAGAGCCUGCUUCCCUUGCAAUAGAUUAAAAGGUUACCCUAAAUUUCCAUGGGACUAGUGUUAGGCAAGAGUGCCAGAUAAAUAGAGCUCAUAAAGCAAGGAAGAUUAAAUAAUGUAAAAUCUAUUAUAGAGGGAAUUCCAAAUACGGAAAAAGGAAUUAUUCAUUUUCCUGGCCACUGGAAAGAAUAUAAACAAGCUCAAAUUGUAACUGCGUUUCCUCUGAGAACAUUAUGGAGCACGGCAGACGUUGCACAAGGGUAUUAUUCAGGCUUACUGUAUCACUGUGCAGUAUGAUCUGCCUGACGACUGCACACAUGGAUCAGCUGAGGCUGCAACACUGCUGAGCAAGACAGAUGGGAAAAUGACAUUGAGAAGGCAACACUCGUGCUGCAUAACAAAUCCAAACUUCUCCUUCCAGAACAUGCUGAACUCUCCUAGGAGUAAAACAAAACAAAACGAAAAGCAGAGACCUGAAGCCGGUUUCAUGUGUGUCAUCCCACAGCCAUGUGCACAUGGGUAUGAAGAGGAGAUCCUUUUGUAAGAAAAGGGAUCAAAUAGAAGAUGGACAUCUCUAACUGACCAUCUAAGACUAAAAGCUUAAAAUUUUAAAUCCAACUAUUGAAUUUUCUCAAGUUUUCUCACUGACUAUGCACUUUCCUCCUGCUCCUUUCCCCAGAAUUAGAGACCUCACAUUUCUCUCCUCGGUCAAAGCUUUUUUCCCACCAUCCUGUGUAACAGCUCAUGGCUGGCAUUACCCUUUUCCAGGACCUCUGGCAGCUGCCGUUACCGUAUUUGCCUU